rnacentral:rRNA from 1 species
GAUGAACGCUGGCGGCGUGCCUAAUACAUGCAAGUCGAGCGAACAGACGAGGAGCUUGCUCCUCUGACGUUAGCGGCGGACGGGUGAGUAACACGUGGAUAACCUACCUAUAAGACUGGGAUAACUUCGGGAAACCGGAGCUAAUACCGGAUAAUAUAUUGAACCGCAUGGUUCAAUAGUGAAAGACGGUUUUGCUGUCACUUAUAGAUGGAUCCGCGCCGCAUUAGCUAGUUGGUAAGGUAACGGCUUACCAAGGCAACGAUGCGUAGCCGACCUGAGAGGGUGAUCGGCCACACUGGAACUGAGACACGGUCCAGACUCCUACGGGAGGCAGCAGUAGGGAAUCUUCCGCAAUGGGCGUAAGCUUGACGGAGCAACGCCGCGUGAGUGAUGAAGGUCUUCGGAUCGUAAAACUCUGUUAUUAGGGAAGAACAAAUGUGUAAGUAACUAUGCACGUCUUGACGGUACCUAAUCAGAAAGCCACGGCUAACUACGUG